rfam:Nematostella vectensis strain CH2 x CH6 NEMVEscaffold_350_Cont24651, whole genome shotgun sequence.
ACCGGGAUGGCCGAGCGGUCAAGGCGUUAGACUUCAAAUGUACAAAUGUACGCGUUGGUUCGCUCCCCACUCCUGGUA